UACGUAGGGUGCGAGCGUUAAUCGGAAUUACUGGGCGUAAAGCGUGCGCAGGCGGUUCGCAAAGUCUGAUGUGAAAGCCCCGGGCUCAACCUGGGAACUGCAUUGGAAACUAACGGGCUCGAGUGUGGCAGAGGGGGGUGGAAUUCCACGUGUAGCAGUGAAAUGCGUAGAGAUGUGGAGGAACACCAAUGGCGAAGGCAGCCCCCUGGGCUAACACUGACGCUCAGGCACGAAAGCGUGGGGAGCAAACAGG
rnacentral:rRNA from 1 species